GCCCUCUCGGGGACGCACCUGGGAAGUUUCCAGUACUCUACCAGUCUCGGCUACAGGAGGAAGAGUCAAGCAGAGGACUAACCAUUCCAUUUCUAGCUUAGGCAGUAGCUAGCAAGUGGAAGGCAAUCUGCUACAGGU